GGCUUAAUAGCUCAAUUGUAUAGAGCAACUCCGUCCUAAGGAGUAGGCUGUGGGUUAGAGUCCCACUUAAGCCA
rnacentral:tRNA from 1 species